GCUGGGCAUGGUGGCGCAAGCCUGUAAUCCAAGCAACUUGGGAGGCUGAGACAAGAGGAUCACGAAUUCAAAGCCAGCCUCAGCAACUGUGAGGAGCUAAGCAACUCAGUGAGACACUGGCUCUA
rnacentral:sRNA from 1 species